AUGCUGCUCGGACUCUUCAAAAAUGUCAGUGGGUGCGUGCUGGAUUCUCCAAAGGAGUGUAUUUUUGGAGAAUUUGACAUGGGUAUGACAUCAAAAGUGAAGAGCCAGCACAACUUAG